rnacentral:rRNA from 1 species
CGGGGAAUUUUGGACAAUGGGCGAAAGCCUGAUCCAGCAAUGCCGCGUGUGUGAAGAAGGCCUUCGGGUUGUAAAGCACUUUUGUCCGGAAAGAAAUCCUUGGCUCUAAUACAGUCGGGGGAUGACGGUACCGGAAGAAUAAGCACCGGCUAACUACGUGCCAGCAGCCGCGGUAAUACGUAGGGUGCAAGCGUUAAUCGGAAUUACUGGGCGUAAAGCGUGCGCAGGCGGUUUGCUAAGACCGAUGUGAAAUCCCCGGGCUCAACCUGGGAACUGCAUUGGUGACUGGCAGGCUAGAGUAUGGCAGAGGGGGGUAGAAUUCCACGUGUAGCAGUGAAAUGCGUAGAGAUGUGGAGGAAUACCGAUGGCGAAGGCAGCCCCCUGGGCCAAAUACUGACGCUCAUGCACGAAAGCGUGGGGAGCAAACAGGAUUAGAUACCCUGGUAGUCCACGCCCUAAACGAUGUCAACUAGUUGUUGGGGAUUCAUUUCCUUAGUAACGUAGCUAACGCGUGAAGUUGACCGCCUGGGGGAGUACGGUCGCAAGAUUAAAACUCAAAUGAAUUGACGGGGU